rnacentral:rRNA from 1 species
AUUGAACGCUGGCGGCAUGCUUUACACAUGCAAGUCGAACGGUAACAGGCCGCAAGGUGCUGACGAGUGGCGAACGGGUGAGUAAUGCAUCGGAACGUGCCCAGUCGUGGGGGAUAACGCAGCGAAAGCUGCGCUAAUACCGCAUACGAUCUAUGGAUGAAAGCGGGGGACCGUAAGGCCUCGCGCGAUUGGAGCGGCCGAUGUCAGAUUAGGUAGUUGGUGGGGUAAAGGCUCACCAAGCCAACGAUCUGUAGCUGGUCUGAGAGGACGACCAGCCACACUGGGACUGGGACACGGCCCAGACUCCUACGGGAGGCAGCAGUGGGGAAUUUUGGACAAUGGGCGCAAGCCUGAUCCAGCAAUGCCGCGUGCAGGAAGAAGGCCUUCGGGUUGUAAACUGCUUUUGUACGGAACGAAACGGCUCUGGUUAAUACCUGGGGCUAAUGACGGUACCGUAAGAAUAAGCACCGGCUAACUACGUGCCAGCCGCCGCCGUAAGAC